GAUGAACGCUGGCGGCGUGCUUAACACAUGCAAGUCGAGCGGGCAAUUUAUCUAGCACUGAUUACUUCAAAUGGAAAUCAUAAGUGUAAUCAUGAAUUUCUACCUUUAAUAAAGAAAAAGAAAUUCAUGUACGCAAAUAGUGAUAACACAUUUUAGUGGAGUGAUGAGUGCUGGAUAAAUUGCUAGCGGCGGACGGGUGCGUAACACGUGGGUAACCUGCCCCUAUCACUGGGAUAACACACUGAAAAGUGUGCUAAUACCAGAUAAUAUAAGCUUUUGGCAUCAUUAGCUUAUCAAAGAAUUUCGGAUAGGGAUGGGCCCGCGUCUGAUUAGCUAGUUGGUGAGGUAACGGCUCACCAAGGCAACGAUCAGUAGCCGACCUGAGAGGGUGAUCGGCCACACUGGAACUGAGACACGGUCCAGACUCCUACGGGAGGCAGCAGUGGGGAAUAUUGCACA
rnacentral:rRNA from 1 species